rnacentral:tRNA from 1 species
GCGCCAGUAGUGCAAACGCAGCACACCCGCCUUCCGGGUGGGAGGUCCUGGUUCAAAUCCAGGCUGGCGCU